rnacentral:lncRNA from 1 species
UCCAUUGAUUAAACUUUAUUGAGUGCUUUUGAAUCGUGCACUAUAAAGGAAAGGGUGAAAAUAAGGCAACACCAAUAGAAUGUGCUUAAUCUCUAUUUAAUUAAUAUAUAAGUUGAGACAAUAUACAAAAAAAAAUGCAAUGUACAUACUUUAAUAGUACACGAUACAAUAGAAAUUGAGAUAAAUAUAUCAUGAAUAUACAAUAGAAAUUGUGUCUAUCCUAGUUGCACUCAGGCUUUAGCUAAUCUUCCACAAACUCUAGAGUUUCCUUGUAGUUGGAGAACUGGUACAAUAUCAAGCUCGUGUUGAGCUUUUCUGCUUGUAUAUGGCACAUUAUGUGCACUAAUUACUUGGUAUUGGAUAUAAAGUCCUGACCUAUUUAAUCUCAUGCUUCAUGUGUUACCUAAAAUUNNNNNNNNNNNNNNNNNNNNNNNNNNNNNNNNNNNNNNNNNNNNNNNNNNNNNNUUGCUCACCUAAAAUCACUCUUUAAGGUCGCAGUCCCGUUGUCGAGAUGAACUAAAUAAUAAAUUUCAAGCUUGAUAUUGAAAGCUACUCCCAUAUUUCCCUUCAGCGUGUAUACACUUUAACCAAUAGAUCUUGAAAGACAUCAACAACUGUUGAACCUCGCAAUACAACAUUGUGAAAUCAAAGAGUACACACAUUAAAUUAUGGAGACUUUAAGUAACUAAAAAAUCUAAUAUGCCUCUUUGGAAUAUUGGCAGGAUCUUCCUUUAUAACCUUCGCCUAUGAAAUAAUCAUCUAUUUUGUACCCCCCCAUUGCAUUGCAUUACACUGUCCACUAUACCAUAUUUAAAAAAAUAGAAUUUAAAAUAUUUGAUCGGAUACAUCAAAUAUGGAAGUCUCCACUUUGAAUUUGGUGCCUCUGGCAGCUUGAACUUGAAGGUGUGCCAUGUGUUACCUGCAAUGAUGUGUCCAUUUACAAACAUAGUUAGCCACAACUCUCAACCUCACCAUUGAAAGUUAAAAUGUUUAUUAAAGUUAAAAGUUAAAAUGUUUAAUCAAGAAACAUACAUACAUGCUUAUUAUAGUUGCAGCCACAUGAUUAUGUGGUUAAAAAUUAUGCAGGCUGGAUCUUGGAGUUAUAACAGAACUGAAAAGUGGUUCCAAGUGCUCUUUAAUUUGUAAAAACAUUUUCAAAGUUAAUUCAAGAAUAUUACUUUCAUCAAAGAGAAUGAAACAAUGGUAACACUUUCUCAGCCCUGUCAUAAACAAUCCAGUUUAGAAUACAAUCUAAAAGGCUCAUUGACAUUAUGUAAGUGCUCACAUCCAAAUCCAUCAAAUUUCAUUCAAGCACUUUCCACAUUUUCAUUUACUGUUGCCCAAUUUAUGAUCUUUUUUUUCAUAUCAGAAAACUGAUAAUUGAAUGCCCAAUAAUUUCAAGAAACUAAAAAUUAGGUAAAUAAUCUUUUUACUUGAUAAUAGAUUAGGGAAAUCUCCGAAUAAUGUAGAGAAGUUCAAAAAACCAUUCCAGGAUCAACAAAAAUGAACUUAGAAAAGAGGACUCGCCCAUUUAAGAACCACCAAAAUCAUUACCAAAUCCUCAUUUACAAAUUAAGACAUCGGCAACUGCAACAUACAGAGCAACAUAGCAUCAAUGAGAUUGGUAGCAGAAUCAAAUCAAACAAAUAAAGAACCAUAGAAAGCUUAAUAAUCACUAUAUAAGCACUUUGGCUUUUAUGUUCCAACACUAUUUACUUGAUUGCUUGCAAAGUGAAGUCUUUCUUUUAAGUGAGGCCUUAAAUAUUCAAAGUGAAAAAAUCAUUCAUAAAUUUAUAAGAAAGCGAAAGUUAUAGAAAUAUUCAUAAACUAAAAAAUAAUAUAAGAAUUAGUUUUUGCAUCAAUCAACAUUUCAUAUAAUAUAUAUGCAUAAAUUGUGAUCCAAUGAAUCACCAAUAAAAAUCACAAUGCAACUUCGUAAAAGUAAUCAACAGUUACAACAUAACUACAUGUCUUUUCUCAAUGCAUAUUUAUCUCAUGAAUGACCAUUAACUUAAACAGAAUAAAAAAUCACAACUUUGAUUUAUAGUUAAAUAGUUAAAUUCAUAUGAAUGAAAGAUCUAUAUAAUUGAUGUACGAUAAGAAACUAAUAGAAGUUGGAAUCAGCAUGUUUCUUUCAAUGUGGUCAUGUUAUAAGUAGGUAAUUACCUUGAUUAAAAACUAUACCAUAAACAGAUUAGUGGAAAGUACACACACUUCUUUGAUAUAACUUUUUUAAGCUUGUGUAUUAAAAUAAUGAACAAAGUGAAAGCAUUAGACACUUCCAUCUGCACAUGAAUUAGAAGCAUUUCAGAGGCAAAGGUUUCAAAAUAAAUAAGGAACCAUAAAUAUAUUAUAAGCAUAAGUCUAUAACCUUACUUUUGAGAAGCAUGCAAUUCCUCAAAAUUAGGACCUCGAGCAAAUUUCUACCAAUGCAGCUGCCAAGUUUCCUGAGAGAAGAAUUCAACUAACAAAUUUAGGACCAGUAUAAGAAAGAAACACACUACUAUAAGAACUCAGCAGACCACCUCUAAAAGAAGCUUCAUGUAAAUAACAAAUCAAAAUAAGAAAAACAUAUAGUAGUUAUCAAACUCUAAUUCUAAAACAAAAAAGUAAAGCCAAAGAAAUACAAAAUUAGGGAUUAGAAAUACAAAUGAAAUAAAAUAGAUGGCUAUUAAAAAUUAGGUAUUUUGAAAAAGAAAGAGUAUACCCAGAAUCAAACAAUAACAUUGUCGUCGUUGGGCCGUGUGCUCUGCUUCAUCGAUCUUUGUCGUCGUUGGGUUUGUGAACCUGAACAAACAAUAACAUUCCCAAAAAAAAAAUUAAAAAUCAGAAUAUGAAAUUAAAUCAUGAAAUAAGGAAGGGAUUGAGAAGCAAGUUAAAACCUUUCUUAUUGACAAAGCUGAAGAAGCAUAUACCCAAAAUUUGAGGAAAAAAGUUGACAACAUAGAAAACCAUAUCAAAAACACGACAAAGAUAAACGUUGUUUUUGAAAAAUUUUGGAGGGGUUUUUGAAAUUUGAAAGCAUGAUGCAUUAGUCAAAGUUUGCAGAGAACACUUAGUUUUUCACCAAAAUGGAAGUUUUUGUUGAAGAUGGAGAGAAAGAAGACAUCAACAAAGCAGAAAGGGAAGAGAAAGAUUCUUUCCUUUUUCUUUUUUUAAAUUUUUUUUCUUUCUUUUUUCUGUUAUAUUGAAUUUUAAAAUUUGCAAA